rnacentral:rRNA from 1 species
GACGAACGCUGGCGGCGUGCUUAAUACAUGCAAGUCGAACGGAAAGGCCCUGCUUUUGUUGGGUGCUCGAUUGGCGAACGGGUGUGUGACACGUGAGUAUCAUGCACUUGAAUUUGGGAUAAAUUCUGGAAACUGGGGAUCAUACCGGAUAGGAGCUACUGCUGCGUGGUGGGGGAUGGAAAGUUUCGGUUGUUGGGGCUGUACUAGCGGCUUAUCAGCUUGUUGGUGGGGUAGUGGCUUACCAAGGUUUUGACGGGUAGGCGGCCUUAGAAGGUGGCCAGCCACCAUAGUACUAAGAGACGGACCAGACGCCAACGUGAGGCAGCAGGGGGGAAUAUUGCGCAAUGGGGCGAAGCCUGAUGCAGCAACGCCGCGAUCGGGAUGACGUCCUACGAGUUAUAAACCGCUGUCGCCUUUGACAAAGCGUGAGUGACGGUAAUGAGUAAAAAAGCACCGGCUAACUACGUG